rnacentral:rRNA from 1 species
UACGUAGGGUGCGAGCGUUAAUCGGAAUUACUGGGCGUAAAGGGUGCGCAGGCGGUCCCGCAAGUCAGGCGUGAAAUCCCCGGGCUUAACCUGGGAAUGGCACUUGAAACUACGGGACUAGAGUGUGGCAGAGGGAGGUGGAAUUCCACGUGUAGCGGUGAAAUGCGUAGAUAUGUGGAGGAACACCAAUGGCGAAGGCAGCCUCCUGGGUCAACACUGACGCUCAUGCACGAAAGCGUGGGGAGCAAACAGG